AUGGCUCAGGACGAACGCUGGCGGCGUGCCUAACACAUGCAAGUCGAGCGGGGACAUGCGACGGAAGCGAAGUUUCGGAUGGAGCGGAAGAUGCAUGUUCUAGCGGCGGACGGGUGAGUAACGCGUGAGCAACCUGUCCCUUACAGGGGGAUAACACAGCGAAAGUUGUACUAAUACCGCAUAAGACCACGGGAGGACAUCCUUCAGGGGUCAAAGGAGUAAUCCGGUAAGGGGUGGGCUCGCGUCCGAUUAGAUAGUUGGUGAGGUAACGGCCCACCAAGUCGACGAUCGGUAGCCGACCUGAGAGGGUGAUCGGCCACAUUGGGACUGAGACACGGCCCAAACUCCUACGGGAGGCAGCAGUGGGGAAUAUUGGGCAAUGGGGGGAAACCCCCUGACCCAGCAACGCCGCGUGAGGGAAGAAGGUUUUCGGAUCGUAAACCUCUGUCCUUGGUGAAGAGAGAGAGACGGUAGCCAAGGAGGAAGCCCCGGCUAACUACGUGCCAGCCGCAGC
rnacentral:rRNA from 1 species